rnacentral:rRNA from 1 species
UACGGAGGGUGCAAGCGUUAUCCGGAUUUACUGGGUUUAAAGGGUGCGUAGGCGGACAGGUAAGUCAGUGGUGAAAUCCCCGAGCUCAACUUGGGAACUGCCGUUGAUACUAUCUGUCUUGAAUACCGUGGAGGUGAGCGGAAUAUGUCAUGUAGCGGUGAAAUGCUUAGAUAUGACAUAGAACACCGAUUGCGAAGGCAGCUCACUACGCGGUCAUUGACGCUGAGGCACGAAAGCGUGGGGAGCAAACAGG